CCAAAGGCAACGGCAUUUAGCGGGGUCUUGCUGCUUCCUUCUUUUGUAUGAUCUUCCUUUCAGAUGUUGAUCCCAAAUGUGAAAUCGAAGUUUUCGGCCAGUUGUGUAGAGCUGAUCACAAACGCUACCUGCACCGUUGGGCACACGCCACUUGCACACCUGGAUUGUUGAAGCUGGUUGGGGUACCAAGCGAUCCCGAUUUUGACUAUCGUCGGCCUCUUCCGGCAUCACAGCAUCAUCAGUAGCGUUCGUCGCCAUUACUCCUGCUACGAAACGAACGGUAGUAGAACUCUCUCCAACCUUUGGCACACGAGGAAACGGUACCCUUGCAGGGCACAGGUCUUGGUCUGCUCACAAGGUAUCCCAUGGGUCUGCCCAGUAACAGGUUGGAUCCAGUUUGGACAAACGUGCAUCGGUGAGGCUGAACCUGGGUCAAUCUUCACCUAUGAAGCUGGUCGUUCAAAAUGUGCAGAGAUCGCUAAUGCACCUGGAGCCAAGCCCCUCGUGAUCACUUCAGGAUGGUUGGCACUGAUGGCCUUCACGCUUGCUGUCCGGGAGGAGUCGAUAUGGACAAGUUUGCAAACUGGUGAAGAUGGACUGCUCAAGGGUGCCGGCGGGCAGUCCGUGAAUGCGCUGACGAACUCCGCACUCUACAAAAAUAACAACCUCUCUGGCGCAGGCUGUGAUUACAUCUCUGAGUUCACAGGUCCAACACUGCAUCCCGUUGUCAGGAGAGGUUCCUGUGACACCAAGCGACCCGCCUUGUGCAUCGUACAACCCUAAAUGAUCCAGUAACAUGACUGGCGGUAGGAGGUUUUGAUUGGUCUGGGCCUAUCCUCGCCUUUCAUACAGUUUGUGUAUGAUAUGGAGGGUAGUCACAUGACUUUCAUACAGUGUGUGUAUGAUAUGGAGGGUAUACACAUGACCUCCUCAGCAGUAAUCACAUGUUGGAAGGCAAAACGUUGGUCUGGUCAUGGCCUGACCAAGCGGAUCGGUUCCACUGAGCCUGCAUAACAGCUACCUGUCCCAAAGUUGAAUAAUCUCUAAAGAUAUGAUGACUGUACGAAUGAUGCAUGCAUGGACAUGCUGAUUGGCCGUUGCCCGGACAAUGAUCUUGUGACAUGCAUGACGUCUCUUUGUCUGCUACUCGACUGUGCUGUAUAUGUACAUAACACGUUACGUGUAGCUUGGGGGCCUUUGAAAUGGUUCCUGUCUCAGCGCCCUUGGCUCUAUGUACAAUGUACCCGCUGCCAUCAGGCCCGUUUGAGUAAUAAUUAUAACAAUGGUGUGUGAACAAAAUCGGCAAAUGUAUCUUGUUCCCAGGCAAACGGUGAACCAGUUGGCCUACUCUCUGCAUUGCGCUUACUAAAUUUACUACAGAAUAUCCAUCCCUGCCUGUAUUUAUACCCAACAUGCUCAUACACAUACACAUACACGUACAUGCAUUCAUGGAUAGUUUCCCCAGCAUGCAGGGGAUUCCCCAGCAUGCAGGGGAUGCAGUAAUGCACCAUGGCUACUCACUAGUUAGUGCCUCUGUCUACUCUGUAUGAGAUUACGCUGCUAGACCACUGUGUAUUACAAUAUCUUCCAGCUUGCAUUUGUUACAAAGUAAUUCUUUGUCAACAUCUUUCAUUUUCUUUUCAAGUCAUUUGAUGUCGAA